rnacentral:rRNA from 1 species
AGUGAACGCUGGCGGUAGGCCUAACACAUGCAAGUCGAACGGCAGCACAGUAAGAGCUUGCUCUUACGGGUGGCGAGUGGCGGACGGGUGAGGAAUACAUCGGAAUCUACUUUUUCGUGGGGGAUCACGUAGGGAAACUUAAGCUAAUACCGCAUACGACCCACGGGUGAAAGCAGGGGAUCUUCGGACCUUGCGCGAUUGAAUGAGCCGAUGUCGGAUUAGCUAGUUGGCGGGGUAAAGGCCCACCAAGGCGACGAUCCGUGGCUGGUCUGAGAGGCUGGUCGGCGGCACUGGAACUGAAACACGGUCCAGACUCCUACGGGAGGCAGCAGUGGGGAAUAUUGGACAGUGGGCGCAAGCCUUAUCCAGCGAUACCGCGUGGGUGAAGAAGGCCUUCGGGUUGUAAAGCCCUUUUGUUGGGAAAGAAAAGCAGCAGGUUAAUACCCCGCUGUUCUGACGGUACCCAAAGAAUAAGCACCGGCUAACUUCGUG